AAAGACUAUUUUACUUUUUUAUUAUAUUAAUUAUAAUUUAUUAUAAAAUAAUAUUAAUCACAAUUAAUAAAUAAAAAGUAAUUAUUAAUUAACUCAAUUAUCACUCAAUAUUAAUUAUUAAUUAAUUUAAAAUAAUCAUAAUUAAUUAUUAAAAAUAAAAAAUUGACUAAUAGAAAUUGAAUAAAAAUAUUAAUUAAUAAAAAAUUCUUUUUUUCUUUUUUCUUUGGUUUUUUUUCCUUUUUCUUCUUUCCUCCCUCCCUUUUCUUCCCUUUUUUUCUCUAUUUCCAUUUCUUCCCAUUUCCCUUUCUAUGUCUAAAUCCAAAAUACCAGAGUCUUUCUCUACAAUCUCACCAGCCAAGUUGGCCGUCGUUGACCACCUUUAAUCAAAAUCGACGACAACCAUCCAUCACUGUCGAUGGUCGUUAACCAAUGCCAAAUUCACCUACACGUUAAUUUCAACCUCUUUUUCACAUUUUUUUACUUGGUUUUUCGAAAAUGGCCUAGAAAAGCCUAGAUCUAGCCUCUAAGCCCAUGGUUUCCAUCUUAAAAAAACACCACCUUCCAUCGUUCCAAACCAUCUGAAAAUGACCUAUGUCACUUCUUUCACCUAGAUCUUCCACAUGGUAGGCAUAACCUUUCAACCAUAACUUGCUUCCUCCAUUCUUCCUCUCUUUCUCCUUCGUUUUGAUUUUUUAUUUUAUUUUUGCUUUUAUGUUGCUUGUUUAUUAUGGUUGCUAUUUGAUGAUUUUCUAACCAUCUAUGGUUGUCAGAGUGCUGUCGCUAGUCAAAUAUGGUGAUUUUGUAUUUGGAUUUAAAAAAAAAAAUAUUAGGAGUAAAAUGGAGUUUUAAAGAUAUUUUGGUUUUUUGAGAUUUAUGGAAUUGCAAAUAAUAAGCGUUGAAGGAGAAUGAUAACUUCGGCUUUGAUCAAAAUGGACCAAUUGGUCAAAAUCUCUUUUGCUUCCUCAUUUUUGAACCAAACAGCGAAAUAGAAUGGGUUGUAGAAAACAUAUGAAAUAGAAUCUUAAUUCUAAUAACUAAACAUGCUAUUAUAAUAUAAGAAUUAAUAUAGAAUAAGUUAUCAAUUAAUCUCAUUAAAAAUAAAAUUUGUAAUAAAUUGAUUUUGCUAAAAUGAAAAUUUAAGAAUUAAUAUAUAAAUAGUAAAAUAAUUUGUGGUCAACAUAUGAUUAGUAAAAAAAAAACAUAAUGUGUAGUCAAGACUAGAAUAAUAUUAGUACUACUUGGCAAAAGGUCAAAAAAAUUAUCGAAAAAAUUCAAUAAUCAUAUAAGCAUAUGAUUUUUUAUUACAAUAAAUCAAAACUCUGAAUUUUUUAUUUGCAUUUAGUUGAACCCUUAAACAUCUAUUUUUGCCUCAAUUGAGCUUUUAAUUAGAUGAAAAUAGAUGUUGUUAGCUAACCAAUUUUCGUAUAUUAAAGGCUCAAUUGAUGAAAAUAGAUGUUUGAGAGCUUAAUUAAUUACAAUAAAAUGACAGAGACUUAGAUAAUUAUUGAAUUUUUAUUUGACGACUUUUUUACCCUUUAGCCUACUAGAUGUAAACUAGAUUUUUUUUUUGCCAAAAUUGUAUAAACUAGUUUCUUUUAAUAGUAAAACUAGUUUUGAUUUCAUCAUUGCAAUUACAAGUAUACACAAAUUCUACUUUAUGAAGCUAUUAGUACAAGGAAAAUAUAAUCAUAUUCAAGUAUUACACAUAAGAAAUCAAUAAAUUACAC
rnacentral:lncRNA from 1 species